rnacentral:rRNA from 1 species
AUACGGAGGGUGCAAGCGUUACUCGGAAUCACUGGGCGUAAAGCGCGCGCAGGCGGUCUUUUAAGUUGGAUGUGAAAGCCUACGGCUCAACCGUAGAACUGCAUCCAAAACUAUUAGACUAGAGUCUGGGAGGGGAAGAUGGAAUUAGUUGUGUAGGGGUAAAAUCCGUAGAGAUAACUAGGAAUACCAAAAGCGAAGGCGAUCUUCUGGAACAGUACUGACGCUGAGGCGCGAGAGCGUGGGGAGCAAACAGGAUUAGAUACCCUAGUAGUCC